GGCGAGAUGGCCGAGCGGUCUAAGGCGCUGUGUUAAGGAGCUCAAGCUUCCGCAGUCUUCGGACGUGGGUUCGAAUCCCACUCUCGUCA
rnacentral:tRNA from 2 species